AUUAAAAUAACAGAAGUUUGCCCUUUUCUCACGAAUCCUCUCUCCUCUCUCACUUUACUCAACGCCUUCUCCAAUGAGCUCACACGACGAUGUCCUCCGUCUAACAACAUCCUCCACUCGGACGAGGUCCUACAAUCUGGCGAGCAGGUACGUAAUCUUCCUCAAAACUUGCUUGGAAACCUUUUUUUUUUUUUGGCUUCUUGUUCUUGCUGGUUUUUAUUGGUAAUAAUCUAAUUUAAAUAAAAAAGUGGAUGCUAGAUACUGAAAUCAGAAUCAAGAAGGGUUUUCGCCCAACUUAAAUAUCCAUUUCUUGUAUCUUGCAAUGAACUGUGAGUGCCACAAAAAUUAUGAGAUUUGUGUGUGAAAAAUUAUUGAGUUCAUCUGAUUUUUUUCUGAGAUUUGUGUUUGAGACACUGAAGUGUACAGAAAAUAAUGAUAGCCUGUUUGGCAGUGAUUUUGAGAAUUAAUUUUUUGACUGUUAGGAGAAAAGUGGAGUCCACAUGUGAGUGACGGCUGGAAUAGUGACAUAACGAUCAAAAAAUUAAUUUUUUGAGCCAAAAAAUCACUUCCAAAUAGGUUAUGAAUUGGCUUUUAAUUUUACUAUUCUUGUGAUAAUUUUAGAAUGUUCCUCAAAUCAGAAAAAAUGGGAAAAAACUCUAGGACAGUCACUCGGUUGAAGCACUAUAGUUGCAAAAGUGCUUAGAAGUAGUCCAAAUUUUCAUUGUUAUUCAAAAUGCAGUGCGUAAAUUUUUUGAACUAUGUCCAUAACAGAAAAGCAGUAUGUGGUCUAGAUUUUUUUGCCCUUGAGACUGAUGCUUGCUCACCUUCGAAUUACCUAUGAAAUAUAUCUCCUUCAAAAUUAAUCAAAUGAGGCCAAGAAAAUGAGAAGGACAAACAAAAAAGUUUGUACCUCCAAAUCUCUCCUUCCCUUAUUAGAAUGAGUGUCCUUUGGAAGCAAAUAGCAAUUUGGUGGUGUCAAUUGCUGGUUUGUGAUACAUGACUUGGACAUUUUGGGUUUUGAAUUUUGGUUGUUUUAGGUGGUGGCAAGUCAUAAGGAUCUUUUGCGAAAUGGUUACUUAGCCAGAGAAGCGACUUGUGAGUGUUUAAUCAUAGUUGGAAGGUGGAGGUGUUGAUGCUAAUCGAUUGGUAAACAAUUAGGGAAAAGAGGAAAACAUUUUGAGUUAAUGCUAAUAUAUUUCCAUUAAAGUUAGUUUGGGGAAAUUAAGUUCAAUAGAUGGAACCCAUCUUUCAGCUUGGGCAUCUGCAUCAAGACAAACAUCUUUUCAUGGAAGGAAAACUAAUAUAACACAAAACGUGAUGCUGACAUCUGAUUAUAAUAUGAAAUUCAUAUUUGUGUAUUCUGGAUGGGAAGGUACCGCUAAUGAUUCUCGAGUAUUCAUUGAUACAAUUACAAAAGCAUCAAACAAUUUUCCAAUGCCACGAGGAGGUAGAUCCUAAUAAUCAAAAGAAGUCGUCAACUAUUUUUACAAUAUUUCAGUCUUAAAUUAUAAUUCUUUUUUAGAUCAAUUUUAUCUUGUUGACUUUGGCUAUCCAAACAUGCCCGAAUUUCUUGCUCCUUAUCGAGGCUGAAGAUAUCAUUUGCGUGAUUAUAGAGGACGAGGAAGACCGCGUGUAAAGGAGGAGCGUGUCGAAACAUUAUUGAACGUUGCAUUGGAGUAUUAAAGGCAAGAUUUCCCAUUUUGAAGUUAAUGACCAAUUAUCCACUUAAUAGACGGAGACACAUUCUUACUGCAUGUUGCACAAUACAUAACUUUGUUCAUCAGGAGCACGCUUUGGAUAGACUUUUUGCUCAAUAUUCAUCGGAGAAUAUGAUAUUUGAAGAUGUGUCGGAAUUGUGUGAAGAUCGAGAAGUCGUACAAUUUGAUGCUAGUCAAACAUCUCAAAUGCGACAAGUCAAAGAUCAUAUUGCUACACAAAUGUGGAAUGACUACUCAACGACUCAUACAUGAUUCCAUAGAUUUAUUUUAUUGUUUAAAUUCUAACCCCUUUUUUCCUCUGUUUUUUUUUUUUUUUUUUUAUUAAAACCGUUCACAUUUAAGCUUGCAAACUUAGUUUACUUGAUAUUAUAUACUUGUUGCAGUC
rnacentral:lncRNA from 1 species